rnacentral:rRNA from 1 species
GAUCAACGCUGGCGGCGUGCUUAACACAUGCAAGUCGAACGAAGUUUUUCUUUCGGGAGGAACUUAGUGGCGGACGGGUGCGUAGCGCGUGGGUAACCUGCCCUGUACAGGGGGACAACAGCUGGAAACGGCUGCUAAUACCGCAUAAGCCCUUAGCACUGCACGGUGCAUAGGGAAAAGGAGCAAUCCGGUACAGGAUGGACCCGCGUCUGAUUAGCCAGUUGGCAGGGUAACGGCCUACCAAAGCGACGAUCAGUAGCCGAUCUGAGAGGAUGUACGGCCACAUUGGGACUGAGACACGGCCCAGACUCCUACGGGAGGCAGCAGUGGGGAAUAUUGCACAAUGGAGGAAACUCUGAUGCAGCGACGCCGCGUGAGUGAAGAAGUAUUUCGGUAUGUAAAGCUCUAUCAGCAGGAAAGAAAAUGACGGUACCUGACUAAGAAGCACCGGCUAAAUACGUG